GUCCCUGUAUUUGAAAGAAAGCCAGGUGUAACAUAUCUAAAUUAAUAAGAUUAACAUCUGUCAACAGCAUUACGUAGUUUGUUUUUUUCCAGCACGCCCAUGGGUGGGGAAACCAGAAAGGGAAAUAAUAACAUGACAUGCAAGCAAUUAUAGAAUAUAAAUCAUUCAAAAGUAUUGGAAGUCAUACUUUAUGAAAGGUUUUAUU
rnacentral:misc_RNA from 1 species